rnacentral:rRNA from 1 species
CAGUCGCCACGGUAAUACAGAGGGUGCAAGCGUUAAUCGGAAUUACUGGGCGUAAAGCGCGCGUAGGUGGUUUGUUAAGUUGGAUGUGAAAUCCCCGGGCUCAACCUGGGAACUGCAUCCAAAACUGGCAAGCUAGAGUAUGGUAGAGGGUGGUGGAAUUUCCUGUGUAGCGGUGAAAUGCGUAGAUAUAGGAAGGAACACCAGUGGCGAAGGCGACCACCUGGACUGAUACUGACACUGAGGUGCGAAAGCGUGGGGAGCAAACAGGAUUAGAGACCCCUGUAGUCCCUGUCUCUUAUAC